ACAGAAGCUGAAUUAUGGCCGUGAAGACGAAUCUCUCUCCCUGCUUUAGACGGAAGAGCUGAAGAAUGAAAACAAAGAAUCCCACACAGCACAAGAUGGUGGCCAGUAUCAUGGUGGCCUGCACUGCCUGAAGAUAUGCUGAUAAAGACAAAGACAACAAACACAAGCUGCCUUCCUGUGCUCUGCUGAGGGGAGGAACCAGGGGAGGAGAACCGUGAGACCAAAAACUCAAAACACCAUGCCCACAAAUCUGCGAUUUGAACCAGGAAAUGUGUUGAGCAGAUGAUUCAGAUGCCAUGAAUACAUUCAAGGGAUACUUAGACAAUAUGUAUGUGAUUUUUUUCUCUCUCAGUUGAACACUAAAGAAGAAUUUGUCCACUGCC